rnacentral:rRNA from 1 species
CCCUUAGAUGUUCGGGGCCGCACGCGCGCUACACUGAAGGAAUCAGCACGUCUUUCUCCUUGUCCGAAAGGACUGGGUAACCCGCUGAACCUCCUUCGUGCUAGGGAUUGGGGCUUGUAAUUCUUCCCCAUGAACGAGGAAUUCCCAGUAAGCGCGAGUCAUAAGCUCGCGUUGAUUACGUCCCUGCCCUUUGUACACACCGCCCGUCGCUACCACCGAUUGGAUGGUUUAGUGAGAUCCUCGGAUUGGUCCCGGCGCGGCCUCUGGUCGUGCCGGAGUGCCGAAAAGAAUGUCGAACUUGAUCAUCUAGAGGAAGUAAAAGUCGUAACA